rnacentral:misc_RNA from 1 species
CCUAGAGUUGUAGGCUUUGCCUGCUAUCUCUUACCCAUGUCUUUUGAGUACCUUCGUUUCCUCGGCGGGUCCGCCCGCCGAUUGGACAAUUUAAACCAUUUGCAGUUGCGAUCAGCGUCUGAAAAAACUUAAUAGUUA